rnacentral:rRNA from 1 species
CACCGGCGGCUCGAGUGGUGGCCACUUUUAUUGGGUCUAAAGCGUCCGUAGCCGGCUUGGCAAGUCCCCUGGGAAAUCUGGCGGCUUAACCGUCAGGCGUCCAGAGGAUACUGCCAGGCUUGGGACCGGGAGAGGUAAGAGGUACCUCAGGGGUAGGGGUGAAAUCUUGUGAUCCCUGAGGGACCACCAGUGGCGAAGGCGUCUCACUAGAACGGGUCCGACGGUCAGGGACGAAAGCUGGGGGCACGAACCGG